UACAGAGGGUGCAAGCGUUAAUCGGAAUUACUGGGCGUAAAGCGUGCGUAGACGGUUGCGUAAGUCAGAUGUGAAAGCCCCGGGCUCAACCUGGGAAUUGCAUUUGAGACUGCGUAGCUAGGGUGCGGAAGAGGGAAGCGGAAUUUCUGGUGUAGCAGUGAAAUGCGUAGAUAUCAGAAGGAACAUCAGUGGCGAAGGCGGCUUCCUGGACCAAUACUGACGAUCAGGUGCGAAAGCGUGGGGAGCAAACAGG
rnacentral:rRNA from 1 species